rnacentral:misc_RNA from 1 species
GAAGUGCGAUAAGUAAUGUGAAUUGCAGAAUUCAGUGAAUCAUCGAAUCUUUGAACGCACAUUGCGCCCGCCAGCACUCUGGCGGGCAUGCCUGUUCGAGCGACAUUUCAACCCUCAGAACCCCUUGCGGGAUCUGGCGUUGGGGAUUGGCAUCCAGCCAGCCCCGAAAUCUAGUGGCGGUCCCUCCGCGACCUCCCCUGUGCAGUAGCGAUACCUCGCAGCGGGACAGCGGUCUGACCACGCCGUAAAACCCCCAACUUCUCAAGGUUGACCUCGAAUCAGGUAGGAAUACCCGCUGAACUUAAGC